AUGGAACCUCAAUUUUUACUUAAGCAUUUAACCUAGACCGUACUAUCAUGCUGCAAAUAAAUCUUCUCAAGUCACAAUUGGGAUAUAAGAUUCGAGAUAAAUAAGAUGUUAGCAAAUUACAAUUAUAUGGAUUACCAACCAUGCCUAAUUGGAAAUAUCGAAUGAUAUCAGGAAGAUGGUAUGGUUAGCGAAGCAUAUGACA
rnacentral:lncRNA from 1 species